rnacentral:rRNA from 2 species
CAACUUUCAGCAACGGAUCUCUU